rnacentral:lncRNA from 1 species
ACUUGACCAAGACGGGUACUGUGUAGACAAAUGCAAAGACAAGUUUCCUUUACAAAAGGAACCAUUUAUUUUCAGGGCAAGAAAUAAGAGAGACCUUUCUUUAAAAAAACAACAACAACAACAACAAAAAAACCAACAACAACAACAACAAAAAACAAGAAGAAGAAGAAGAAGAAGAAAAAUAAAACAUUAACAUUUGACUUGGGAAGAAGCCAGUGUCAACAUGACCGAUGAUGGGAACACUGAUGAUGUGCUGGGUGCGUCUCCCAAAUUCUGGAACAAGUAGAAGCCUGCUAAAUGGAGCUGACAAAAGAGCCUGACAAAAGAGCUCACCUAGCAAGAAAACUCACUCCAGGGAAUUAGGAAAAAACAACAACAUAACUUGUCAGCUGAUCAUAUUCUCUUGUGUCUGCACAGAUUUCAAAUUGAAGUAGUACCAAAAUUUGCUGUUGCAAGUGAACAUUCUGGGUAUUCCUGAUAUGAAAAAGCAUGAGGAUGUUUAUUUUCCUCAGUAACAUUCCAAGCAAUUCUUUGUUCUCUUU